GGAAGGACGCUUAGGGCUAAGGGGGCUAGCGGAUGGAAGUGCUAGUCUAAGGUCGUAGGAGGUUAUACAGGCAAAUCCGUAUAACAAUACUCCGAGAACUGAAAGGCUUUUUGAAGUCUUCGGAUGGAUAGAAGAACCCCUGAUGCCGUCGAGCCAAGAAAAGUUUCUAAGUUUAGCUAAUGUUGCCCGUACCGUAAACCGACACAGGUGGGUGGGAUGAGUAUUCUAAGGCGCGUGGAAGAACUCUCUUUAAGGAACUCUGCAAAAUAGCACCGUAUCUUCGGUAUAAGGUGUGGUUAGCUUCGUACUAGGAUUUACUCCGAAAGCGAAGAAACUUACAACAAAGAGUCCCUCCCGACUGUUUACCAAAAACACAGCACUCUGCUAACUCGUAAGAGGAUGUAUAGGGUGUGACGCCUGCCCGGUGCUCGAAGGUUAAUUGAUGGGGUUAGCAUUAGCGAAGCUCUUGAUCGAAGCCCGAGUAAACGGCGGCCGUAACUAUAACGGUCCUAAGGUAGCGAAAUUCCUUGUCGGUUAAAUACCGACCUGCAUGAAUGGCGUAACGAGAUGGGAGCUGUCUCAAAGAGGGAUCCAGUGAAAUUGUAGUGGAGGUGAAAAUUCCUCCUACCCGCGGCAAGACGGAAAGACCCCGUGGACCUUUACUACAGCUUGACACUGCUACUUGGAUAAGAAUGUGCAGGAUAGGUGGGAGGCUUUGAGUAUAUGACGCCAGUUGUAUAUGAGCCAUUGUUGAGAUACCACUCUUUCUUAUUUGGGUAGCUAACCAGCUUGAGUUAUCCUCAAGUGGGACAAUGUCUGGUGGGUAGUUUGACUGGGGCGGUCGCCUCCCAAAUAAUAACGGAGGCUUACAAAGGUUGGCUCAGAACGGUUGGAAAUCGUUCGUAGAGUAUAAAGGUAU
rnacentral:rRNA from 1 species